UGAACGCUGGCGGCGUGCCUAAUACAUGCAAGUCGAGCGAACAGACGAGGAGCUUGCUCCUCUGACGUUAGCGGCGGACGGGUGAGUAACACGUGGAUAACCUACCUAUAAGACUGGGAUAACUUCGGGAAACCGGAGCUAAUACCGGAUAAUAUAUUGAACCGCAUGGUUCAAUAGUGAAAGACGGUUUUGCUGUCACUUAUAGAUGGAUCCGCGCCGCAUUAGCUAGUUGGUAAGGUAACGGCUUACCAAGGCGACGAUGCGUAGCCGACCUGAAAGGGUGAUCGGCCACACUGGAACUGAGACACGGUCCAGACUCCUACGGGAGGCAGCAGUAGGGAAUCUUCCGCAAUGGGCGAAAGCCUGACGGAGCAACGCCGCGUGAGUGAUGAAGGUCUUCGGAUCGUAAAACUCUGUUAUUAGGGAAGAACAAAUGUGUAAGUAACUAUGCACGUCUUGACGGUACCUAAUCAGAAAGCCACGGCUAACUACGUG
rnacentral:rRNA from 1 species